rnacentral:rRNA from 1 species
AGUCGAACGAGAGAGAAGGAGCUUGCUUCUUCGAUCGAGUGGCGAACGGGUGAGUAACGCGUGAGGAACCUGCCUCAAAGAGGGGGACAACAGUUGGAAACGACUGCUAAUACCGCAUAAGCCCACGGGUCGGCAUCGAUCUGAGGGAAAAGGAGCAAUCCGCUUUGAGAUGGCCUCGCGUCCGAUUAGCUAGUUGGUGAGGUAACGGCCCACCAAGGCGACGAUCGGUAGCCGGACUGAGAGGUUGAACGGCCACAUUGGGACUGAGACACGGCCCAGACUCCUACGGGAGGCAGCAGUGGGGAAUAUUGCACAAUGGGGGAAACCCUGAUGCAGCGACGCCGCGUGGAGGAAGAAGGUCUUCGGAUUGUAAACUCCUGUUGUUGAGGAAGAUAAUGACGGUACUCAACAAGGAAGUGACGGCUAACUACGUGCCAGCAGCCGCGGUAAAACGUAGGUCACAAGCGUUGUCCGGAAUUACUGGGUGUAAAGGGAGCGCAGGCGGGAAGACAAGUUGGAAGUGAAAUCUAUGGGCUCAACCCAUAAACUGCUUUCAAAACUGUUUUUCUUGAGUAGUGCAGAGGUAGGCGGAAUUCCCGGUGUAGCGGUGGAAUGCGUAGAUAUCGGGAGGAACACCAGUGGCGAAGGUGGCCUACUGGGCACCAACUGACGCUGAGGCUCGAAAGUGUGGGUAGCAAACAGGAUUAGAUACCCUGGUAGUCCACACCGUAAACGAUGAUUACUAGGUGUUGGAGGAUUGACCCCUUCAGUGCCGCAGUUAACACAAUAAGUAAUCCACCCGGGGAGUACGACCGCA